rnacentral:misc_RNA from 1 species
CUCGGAUCAGCGAUGCACACU